AGCUCCAAUAGCGUAUAUUAAAGUUGUUGCGGUUAAAAAGCUCGUAGUUGGAUUUCUGUCGAGGACGGCCGGUCCGUACAUCGUACGUGUAUCUGGUUCGGUCUUGGCAUCCUCCUGGGGAACGUUUCUGUCCUUGAUUGGGUGGAGCGGAAUUCAGGACUUUUACUUUGAGGAAAUUAGAGUGUUCACGGCAGGCAUUCGCCUUGAAUACAUUAGCAUGGAAUAAUAAUAUAGGACCUUGGUACUAUUUUGUUGGUUUCUAGAGCUGAGGUAAUGAUUAAUAGGGAUAAUUGGGGGCAUUCGUAUUAACGCGUCAGAGGUGGAAUUCUUGGAUUGCGUUACGACGAACUACUGCGAAAGCAUUUGCCAAGGAUGUUUUCA
rnacentral:rRNA from 1 species